rnacentral:lncRNA from 1 species
CACUGAAUCUAUUGUUGAUCUCUUCUUUGGAGUUGCUGUUAUGACAUUUUAAAGGUUGAUCUUCUACUUUUGUCUUUAUGCUUAAAAUUGAAACCAAGUCUAGAGGAGCUGACACUAUCUGGGACAUGCAAUUCUCUAGUGGAUGGAUGGAAUACAAGUGUUUGAAUGUGAAUAUUGCAGCAAUCAAGCUUUUGCUAUGCAGAGAAGGAAUAUGAAAAGGAAAUAAGGAUCAGGAAUGAGACAACAAAAAAAUGAAAAGGAACUGUAUAACGGAGUAAACUUUUGGAUUAGAGCUACUCUGCAAACUGAAAUGGC